UACGUAGGGGGCGAGCGUUGUCCGGAUUUAUUGGGCGUAAAGAGCUCGUAGGCGGUUUGGCAAGUCGGGUGUGAAAACUCCGGGCUCAACUCGGAGACGCCACUCGAUACUGCUAUGACUUGAGUCCGGUAGGGGAGUGCGGAAUUCCUGGUGUAGCGGUGAAAUGCGCAGAUAUCAGGAGGAACACCGGUGGCGAAGGCGGCACUCUGGGCCGGAACUGACGCUGAGGAGCGAAAGCGUGGGGAGCGAACAGG
rnacentral:rRNA from 1 species